ensembl:lncRNA
GAAAAAAGAAAACACGCCCCGAGCCACCGAAUGGAGGUCUCAAACUUCAUUCCCCUGAUAUUUGACUCGGCCCAGCUUCAGCACUCGCGUUCUGCACCCGAGGGCCUCAGAAGCGUGAGAAACACUUUGCACAAGAAAGGCGACGGUGUUUCAGAGCCUGACAGAGCUUGGACAGUGUGCAGAUAGGCAGGAAAUCUAGGUAAAGGGUUUCUGGCAAGGCUAUGAUGAGGAUGCAGAGUGGCUUGCCAAAAUGUUGUACGAAUUAUUUGAUGAUUUUAAGGAAGACAUUUCUGCAGCAGUUUUUUGAAGUUCAUCUCACGCGUGCCAAAUCGGUUUAGCGCUCAUUGGUUAACCCGUCAAAUAUCUAACUAACGAUUUAUGUUAUAUUUUGUUUUGUUAAGAAUCAUAUUAACGUGAAAAACAAGGAAAGAUUGUUUUAUUCGAUUUACCGUAUACGAAGAUUGAGCUUAGUUUGUUUCACAUCACGUGUUUUCUGUUGGCCUUCGCGUACUGUAAGUUAGUUGCGCUCAUUGCUAAACGAUUUUUACUUUUAGGUUUCCAAAACGUUUUUAAGGCGUAUGUGUACUUAUAUGUCUUAUAAACAUAUUUUAACCUUGUGUUUAUGAAAAAGUUUGUUAACAACAACAACAACAACAAAACUAUGGUAAAUCAUUAAGGGUAACCUUACCAUAUGCAGUAAAGCAAAAAAAUAAUUCCCCUUAAACGAACCUAUAGUUAAGAACCUAUACAACCUAUAGUUUUCACUCCUUUUUUUAUUUAUGGGAAAAUGAGCACAUCAUAUGUUAAACAGAGGACAUACUGAAAGUCCUUUAAAAUGUUUCAGUAAACACUGAUUGUAUCAAGAUGAUAAAAGUAUGCAAAGUUGUUCGGGAAUAUCUGCAUACACACAGACAGACACACUUUCACACAUGGGUUUCUCAUUUAUUUGGAGGCUCCAGCUGUAGUGGAUUUCCUGGGUUAAACAGUGAAGAUGGCACAUUGUCUGGGCUUACAAAACCCCACUUGUCAAUUGCCUUCCCCCUGGUGGAGUAUAGCACAGUCUCCCAGGCAGGCCGCCAGUGUGAUGACUCGUUCCCACAGCUCUGAGCCCUGCGCUGAAACCCAAUCACCAUGUGAGAGACGGCCAGGAACACAGGGAGGGCCGGCAGGGCCGCUGCCACUGGGAGGUUACCGCGAGCCGAGCGUCACCCCUACCACUGCUGCCGCAGCUCGUAACCCUAUUCUGCACAUUGUUUGUUUGUUGUCAGAUUGGAUGACCCUCUGUCGUUGUUUAGAAGUCCAGACACUUUGACUUAUCAGUGUGAGCAGUUGAAAAGCGCUAGUGCACAUGCUUGACCCCCAGGCCCUCUGGUUUUACUGCUAUCACCCGAGACAGCACUGUUGAAUCUGGAGGAGAAUGUGACAACAGCAGGCUCACCAGCUGACCAUACGCAGACCCCAGAUCAGCAACACGUCUGCUAAUUCUUCAUACACCCUGCAGGGGAAAACCUGGACUGAAGGUCCGAGCCUGGAAAAUACCUGUCAUCGGAAGAGCUGCGGUCAGCUGCAGGAAUCUUGCUACAUUCACACCAGCAGAAACGCAGAGGUAGAGGUGUCCACGACAGCUCCCAGAUACUCUGCUGCUGUCUUUCCCACUGCCUGAAAACACACAAGGACUUGUCACUGUCUAUUAAAGCUAAAAAAAGCUCUUGGGUAGGACAGACAGCCUACAAAAGUUCAAUAAAAUUGGGUAUUUGUUCA